rnacentral:rRNA from 1 species
GACGAACGCUGGCGGCGUGCUUAACACAUGCAAGUCGAACGGAAAGGCCCUGCUUUUGUGGGGUGCUCGAGUGGCGAACGGGUGAGUAACACGUGAGUAACCUGCCCUUGACUUUGGGAUAACUUCAGGAAACUGGGGCUAAUACCGGAUAGGAGCUCCUGCUGCAUGGUGGGGGUUGGAAAGUUUCGGCGGUUGGGGAUGGACUCGCGGCUUAUCAGCUUGUUGGUGGGGUAGUGGCUUACCAAGGCUUUGACGGGUAGCCGGCCUGAGAGGGUGACCGGCCACAUGGGGAAUGAGAUACGGCCCAGACUCCUGCGGGAGGCAGCAGUGGGGAAUGUUGCAGAAUGGGCGGAAGCCUGAUGCAGCAACGCCGCGUGGGGGAUGACGGCCUUCGGGUUGUAAACCGCUUUCGCCUGGGACGAAGCGUGAGUGACGGUAAUGGGUAAAGAAGCACCGGCUCACUACGUG